GAAUUUUUUCACAAGAUGGCGCCAAAGGCGAAGAAGGAAGCUCCUGCCCCUCCCAAAGCCGAAGCCAAAGCAAAGGCUUUGAAGGCCAAGAAGGCAGUGCUAAAAGGCGUACACAGCCACAAAAAAAAGAAGAUCUGAACGUCACCCACCUUCCGUCACCCACCUUCCGGCGGCCGGCCAAAGACAUUGCGGCUCUGGAAGCAGCCCAAAUAUCCUCGGAAGAGCGCCCCCAGGAGAAACAAGCUUGACCACUAUGCCAUCAUCAAGUUCCCCUUGACCACAGAGUCUGCCAUGAAGAAGAUAGAAGACAACAACACACUUGUGUUCAUUGUGGAUGUCAAAGCCAAUAAGCACCAGAUCAAACAGGCUGUGAAGAAGCUCUAUGACAUUGAUGUGGCCAAGGUCAACACCCUGAUCAGGCCUGUUGGAGAGAAGAAGGCAUAUGUUCGACUGGCUCCUGAUUAUGAUGCUUUGGACAUUGCCAACAAAAUUGGGAUCAUCUAAACCGAGUCCAGCUGGCUAAUUCUAAAUU